rnacentral:tRNA from 1 species
ACCUGACUGGCUCAGUGGGUUAAGUGUCUGACUUCAGCUCAGGUCAGGAUCUCACAGUUCGUGGGUUCAAGCCCCGCGUUGGGCU